rnacentral:misc_RNA from 1 species
UAUGCGAGUUACUGUCAACAUGGUAAUCCUUUUGGUUUCCUUGCCAAUUUGGGUAACUACUGCUUCCACAGUUUCGUUUUAAGAUAAUUUCGUAUCAGAUUUAGGAGAUAUGGGAAUCUUUUCACUUCCUUUACGCUUUAACAAGGCUCUGCGCCUCUGUCACUGGCUUUGCAUUAUGGACAAUCAACCUGUUAACUGUUUGUUUAAUUGCUGCUUUGAGUUUUUCAGAUGUAGAACUGGUUAGUUGCAAAUUUGCUUGUUUGAUUUGC